UGGGGAAUAUUGCGCAAUGGGCGAAAGCCUGACGCAGCCACGCCGCGUGUGUGAUGAAGGCCUUCGGGUCGUAAAGCACUGUCGAGGGGGACGAAAUUCUGACGGUACCCCUCAAGAAAGCACCGGCUAACCCUGUGCCAGCAGCCGCGGUAAUACAGGGGGUGCGAGCGUUGCUCGGAAUCACUGGGCGUAAAGCGUAUGCAGGCGGUCGAACAAGUCAGGUGUGAAAGCCCAGGGCUCAACCCUGGAACUGCGCCCGAUACUGUUCGACUCGAGUGCGGGAGAGGGAAGCGGAAUUCCUGGUGUAGAGGUGAAAUUCGUAGAUAUCAGGAGGAACACCAGUGGCGAAAGCGGCUUCCUGGCCCGAUACUGACGCUGAGGUGCGAAAGCGUGGGGAGCAAACAGGAUUAGAUACCCCGGUAGUCCCUGAGCGGGCUGGCAAGGCGCAU
rnacentral:rRNA from 1 species